rnacentral:rRNA from 1 species
GGGUUGUGAGGUUAAGCGACUAAGCGUACACGGUGGAUGCCCUGGCAGUCAGAGGCGAUGAAGGACGUGCUAAUCUGCGAAAAGCGCCGGCGAGGUGAUAUGAACCUUUGACCCGGCGAUGUCCGAAUGGGGAAACCCAGUGUGUUCCGACACACUAUCGUUAACUGAAUACAUAGGUUAACGAGGCGAACCGGGGGAACUGAAACAUCUAAGUACCCCGAGGAAAAGAAAUCAACCGAGAUUCCCCCAGUAGCGGCGAGCGAACGGGGAGCAGCCCGGAGUCUGAAUCAGCUUGUGUGUUAGUGGAACGGUCUGGAAAGUCCGACGGUACAGGGUGAUAGUCCCGUACACGAAAACACACAUGCUGUGAACUCGAAGAGUAGGGCGGGACACGUGGUAUCCUGUCUGAAUAUGGGGGGACCAUCCUCCAAGGCUAAAUACUCCUGACUGACCGAUAGUGAACCAGUACCGUGAGGGAAAGGCGAAAAGAACCCCGGCGAGGGGAGUGAAAAAGAACCUGAAACCGUGUACGUACAAGCAGUGGGAGCACCUUCGGGUGUGACUGCGUACCUUUUGUAUAAUGGGUCAGCGACUUAUAUUCUGUAGCAAGGUUAACCGUAUAGGGGAGCCGAAGGGAAACCGAGUCUUAACUGGGCGUUAAGUUGCAGGGUAUAGACCCGAAACCCGGUGAUCUAGCCAUGGGCAGGUUGAAGGUUGGGUAACACUAACUGGAGGACCGAACCGACUAAUGUUGAAAAAUUAGCGGAUGACCUGUGGCUGGGGGUGAAAGGCCAAUCAAACCGGGAGAUAGCUGGUUCUCCCCGAAAGCUAUUUAGGUAGCGCCUCGUGAACUCAUCUUCGGGGGUAGAGCACUGUUUCGGCUAGGGGGCCAUCCCGGCUUACCAACCCGAUGCAAACUACGAAUACCGAAGAAUGUUAUCACGGGAGACACACGGCGGGUGCUAACGUCCGUCGUGAAGAGGGAAACAACCCAGACCGCCAGCUAAGGUCCCAAAGUCAUGGUUAAGUGGGAAACGAUGUGGGAAGGCACAGACAGCCAGGAUGUUGGCUUAGAAGCAGCCAUCAUUUAAAGAAAGCGUAAUAGCUCACUGGUCGAGUCGGCCUGCGCGGAAGAUGUAACGGGGCUAAACCAUGCACCGAAGCUGCGGCAGCGACGCUUAUGCGUUGUUGGGUAGGGGAGCGUUCUGUAAGCCGUUGAAGGUGUGCUGUGAGGCAUGCUGGAGGUAUCAGAAGUGCGAAUGCUGACAUAAGUAACGAUAAAGCGGGUGAAAAGCCCGCUCGCCGGAAGACCAAGGGUUCCUGUCCAACGUUAAUCGGGGCAGGGUGAGUCGACCCCUAAGGCGAGGCCGAAAGGCGUAGUCGAUGGGAAACAGGUUAAUAUUCCUGUACUUGGUGUUACUGCGAAGGGGGGACGGAGAAGGCUAUGUCAGCCGGGCGACGGUUGUCCCGGUUUAAGCAUGUAGGCGGAGGUUCCAGGUAAAUCCGGUACCUUGUUAACGCUGAGGUGUGAUGACGAGGCACUACGGUGCUGAAGUGAUAAAUGCCCUGCUUCCAGGAAAAGCCUCUAAGCAUCAGGUAACACGAAAUCGUACCCCAAACCGACACAGGUGGUCAGGUAGAGAAUACCAAGGCGCUUGAGAGAACUCGGGUGAAGGAACUAGGCAAAAUGGUGCCGUAACUUCGGGAGAAGGCACGCUGAUAUGUAGGUGAAGCCCCUGCGGGCGGAGCUGAAAUCAGUCGAAGAUACCAGCUGGCUGCAACUGUUUAUUAAAAACACAGCACUGUGCAAACACGAAAGUGGACGUAUACGGUGUGACGCCUGCCCGGUGCCGGAAGGUUAAUUGAUGGGGUUAGCGGCAACGCGAAGCUCUUGAUCGAAGCCCCGGUAAACGGCGGCCGUAACUAUAACGGUCCUAAGGUAGCGAAAUUCCUUGUCGGGUAAGUUCCGACCUGCACGAAUGGCGUAAUGAUGGCCAGGCUGUCUCCACCCGAGACUCAGUGAAAUUGAACUCGCUGUGAAGAUGCAGUGUACCCGCGGCAAGACGGAAAGACCCCGUGAACCUUUACUAUAGCUUGACACUGAACACUGGUCCUUGAUGUGUAGGAUAGGUGGGAGGCUUUGAAGCGUGGACGCCAGUCUGCGUGGAGCC